UACGGAGGGUGCGAACGUUGCUCGGAAUCAUUGGGCGUAAAGCGCACGUAGGCGGCGGCGUAAGCGGGAUGUGAAAGCCCAGGGCUCAACCCUGGAAGUGCAUCCCGAACUGUGUCGCUUGAAUCUCGGAGGGGGGCAGAGAAUUCCCGGUGUAGAGGUGAAAUUCGUAGAUAUCGGGAGGAAUACCAGUGGCGAAGGCGCUGUCCUGGACGAAGAUUGACGCUGAGGUGCGAAAGCGUGGGGAGCAAACAGG
rnacentral:rRNA from 1 species